rnacentral:RNase_P_RNA from 1 species
GCAGUGCUGCGACCUGCCGCUGGUGUCAGAAGACACGAGAGGAAAGUCCGGGCAGCAUAGGACACUCCACUGGUGAAAAUGCCAGCUAUUGGCGACAGUAGGAUAUGGGAGAAGAGAAUGACCGCCCUUUUUAGGGUAAGGGUGAGAAGGCGGUGCAAGAGACCACCAGCUGGCGGGUGAUCGUCAGGCUGUCCCAUCUGGAGGCUGCAAGUUCGCGUAUACCAUCGGCUGAGGGCUGUCCGUCCGAAUAUUCUUUACGUUUAUACGAUGGAGGGUAGAAUGCUAGAGCUGCAGGGUAACUUGCAGAGUAGAUAAAUGGCAGGCUUCUCGCAAGAGGGGUACAGAACCCGGCUUACAGCGGCAGUGCUUUC